GGCUCAAUGAUUACAUGCCUAAUUUUUUGGCAGUAUACGCUAUUCUGACUGAGAACAUGAGCAGACAUUUUUAUUGAAAUAUCAUGAGAGCC